rnacentral:rRNA from 1 species
AGGGAAUUUUCGGCAAUGGGGGAAACCCUGACCGAGCAACGCCGCGUGAAGGAAGAAGUAAUUCGUUAUGUAAACUUCUGUCAUAGAGGAAGAACGGUGGAUAUAGGGAAUGAUAUCCAAGUGACGGUACUCUAUAAGAAAGCCACGGCUAACUACGUGCCAGCAGCCGCGGUAAUACGUAGGUGGCGAGCGUUAUCCGGAAUUAUUGGGCGUAAAGAGGGAGCAGGCGGCACUAAGGGUCUGUGGUGAAAGAUCGAAGCUUAACUUCGGUAAGCCAUGGAAACCGUAGAGCUAGAGUGUGUGAGAGGAUCGUGGAAUUCCAUGUGUAGCGGUGAAAUGCGUAGAUAUAUGGAGGAACACCAGUGGCGAAGGCGACGAUCUGGCGCAUAACUGACGCUCAGUCCCGAAAGCGUGGGGAGCAAAUAGGAUUAGAUACCCUAGUAGUCCACGCCGUAAACGAUGAGUACUAAGUGUUGGGUGUCAAAGCUCAGUGCUGCAGUUAACGCAUUAAGGUACUCCGCCUGAGUAGUACGUUCGCAAGAAUGAAACUCAAAGGAAUUGACGGGGGCCCGCACAAGCGGUGGAGCAUGUGGUUUAAUUCGAAGCAACGCGAAGAACCUUACCAGGUCUUGACAUCGAUCUAAAGGCUCCAGAGAUGGAGAGAUAGCUAUAGAGAAGACAGGUGGUGCAUGGUUGUCGUCAGCUCGUGUCGUGAGAUGUUGGGUUAAGUCCCGCAACGAGCGCAACCCCUGUUGCCAGUUGCCAGCAUUAAGUUGGGGACUCUGGCGAGACUGCCGGUGACAAGCCGGAGGAAGGCGGGGAUGACGUCAAAUCAUCAUGCCCCUUAUGACCUGGGCUACACACGUGCUACAAUGGACAGAGCAGAGGGAAGCGAAGCCGCGAGGUGGAGCGAAACCCAUAAAACUGUUCUCAGUUCGGACUGCAGUCUGCAACUCGACUGCACGAAGAUGGAAUCGCUAGUAAUCGCGAAUCAGCAUGUCGCGGUGAAUACGUUCCC